rnacentral:rRNA from 1 species
GGCCGCGGGAAUUCCAUUCAAGCCUAACACAUGCAAGUCGAGCGGGGAAGUGUAGCUUGCUACAUUACCUAGCGGCGGACGGGUGAGUAAUGCUUAGGAAUCUGCCUAUUAGUGGGGGACAACAUUCCGAAAGGAAUGCUAAUACCGCAUACGUCCUACGGGAGAAAGCAGGGGAUCUUCGGACCUUGCGCUAAUAGAUGAGCCUAAGUCGGAUUAGCUAGUUGGUGGGGUAAAGGCCUACCAAGGCGACGAUCUGUAGCGGGUCUGAGAGGAUGAUCCGCCACACUGGGACUGAGACACGGCCCAGACUCCUACGGGAGGCAGCAGUGGGGAAUAUUGGACAAUGGGCGGAAGCCUGAUCCAGCCAUGCCGCGUGUGUGAAGAAGGCCUUUUGGUUGUAAAGCGCUUUAAGCGAGGAGGAGGCUACUCUAGUUAAUACCUAGAGAUAGUGGACGUUACUCGCAGAAUAAGCACCGGCUAACUCUGUGCCAGCAGCCGCGGUAAUACAGAGGGUGCGAGCGUUAAUCGGAUUUACUGGGCGUAAAGCGUGCGUAGGCGGCUGAUUAAGUCGGAUGUGAAAUCCCUGAGCUUAACUUAGGAAUUGCAUUCGAUACUGGUCAGCUAGAGUAUGGGAGAGGAUGGUAGAAUUCCAGGUGUAGCGGUGAAAUGCGUAGAGAUCUGGAGGAAUACCGAUGGCGAAGGCAGCCAUCUGGCCUAAUACUGACGCUGAGGUACGAAAGCAUGGGGAGCAAACAGGAUUAGAUACCCCUGGUAGUCCAUGCCGUAAAC